CCUACGGGGGGCAGCAGUGAGGAAUAUUGGUCAAUGGACGAGAGUCUGAACCAGCCAAGUAGCGUGAAGGAUGACUGCCCUAUGGGUUGUAAACUUCUUUUAUAUGGGAAUAAAACGUUCCACGUGUGGGAUUUUGUAUGUACCAUAUGAAUAAGGAUCGGCUAACUCCGUGCCAGCAGCCGCGGUAAUACGGAGGAUCCGAGCGUUAUCCGGAUUUAUUGGGUUUAAAGGGAGCGUAGGUGGAUUGUUAAGUCGGUUGUGAAAGUUUGCGGCUCAACCGUAAAAUUGCAGUUGAAACUGGCAGUCUUGAGUACAGUAGAGGUAGGCGGAAUUCGUGGUGUAGCGGUGAAAUGCUUAGAUAUCACGAAGAACUCCGAUUGCGAAGGCAGUUCACUGGACUGCAACUGACGCUGAGGCUCGAAAGUGUGGGUAUCAAACAGGAUUAGAUACCCUUGUAGUC
rnacentral:rRNA from 1 species